rnacentral:rRNA from 1 species
CCCUUAGAUGUUCUGGGCCGCACGCGCGCUACAAUGGUCUUCGCAAACGGAUGCAUUCUCGAAGGAGAAUGCCAAUCUUGGAAUCUAUGCCUUGGUCGGGACAGUUGCUUGCAAUUUUUCGACUCGAACCAGGAAUUCCUUGUAAUCGUGAUUCAUCACAUCACGAUGAAUACGUCCCUGCCCUUUGUACACACCGCCCGUCGCUCCUACCGAUCGAAGAGUUAGGUGAAUUGUUUUGAUCGAUAAGAUUUGACUAUGGUCAACUCUCGUUGUGAAAUUCUGUGAAUCUGACUGUUUAGAGGAAGUAAAAGUCGUAACA